rnacentral:rRNA from 1 species
CGCGUAGGCGGCCCGUCAAGUCCCGUGUGAAAGCCCCCGGCUCAACCGGGGAACGGCGCGGGAAACUAGCAGGCUUGAGUUCGGGAGAGGGAAGCGGAAUUCCGGGUGUAGCGGUGAAAUGCGCAGAUAUCCGGAGGAACACCGGUGGCGAAGGCGGCUUCCUGGACCGACACUGACGCUGAGGCGCGAAAGCUAGGGGAGCAAAACGG